GAACGACAUGUCCCUCCGGGAAUUUAUUAGUGUUUCCUCAAACAAACAAACAAACAGGUUUACAUUUCAUCUGCUCUUUGGGGGAACGUCUCAAAUGGCACCCUAUCCCCUAUAUUCCUAUUCCCUAUGUAGUGCCCUACUUUAGACAAGAGCCCUAUUCCCUAUGUAGUGCACUACUUUCGACCAGGGCCCUAUUCCCUAUACAGUACACUACUUUAGACCAGAGUUGUCAAUAAGAGUAGUGCACUACUUUAGACCAGAGUGUCAAUAAGACUUAGGCACUACUUUAGACCAGAGUGUCAAUAAGACGUAGUGCACUACUUUAGACCAGUGUCAAUAGGAAGUAGUGCACUACACAGGGAACAGGGCACCAUUUGAGACGCUCAAACCAAAACAUGAUUACACGGUGUUAAGAAAUGUAGAAAAAAACCAACACAGAAAUCCUUUUGGCAUGAGGAUAAAAGCCUUUUUAAGCCAGAGAGGAGUGUAAAGUAAGGCAGUAACUGUCCUUCAUCAAAUUAUAUUAUUACAUAAACAACAUUUUGUUAAUCUAUUGAAUCCUUUUUGGUUAGUUUGUUGUCGUUUUUCACACAGGGGCUGUUGUUGUAUAAAUAUGACCAGUAUGUGCACUUUCAAACAUUCACGUUUAUAUAAAAAAUAAACAUAAACAGUUUCACUUAGACAACAGCCACAGAAGACAUCACCAGGGAAACUGGGCUACAGUGAGAGAUGGCAGCCAUUUUGGAUCUGUUUUAAACAAGGGUCCCUCAUGUCCUUCAGGGGGUACCUAGGUUUAUGCCUGAUUGAAAAAGAGCUUAAAUUAUUUUUUACUUCAGUGAUCCUUUU
ensembl:lncRNA